GAAAUGCGAUAAGUAAUGUGAAUUGCAGAAUUCAGUGAAUCAUGGAAUCUUUGAACGCACCUUGCGCUCCUUGGUAUUCCUUGGAGCAUGCCUGUUUGAGUAUCAUGAAAUCUUCAAAGUAAUCUUUUGUUAACUCAAUUGGUUUCUACUUUGGUAUUGGAGGUCUUUGCAGCUUCACACCUGCUCCUCUUUGUUCAUUAGCUGGAUCUCAGUGUUAUGCUUGGUUCCACUCGGCGUGAUAAGUUAUCUAUCGCUGAGGACACUGUAAAAGGUGGCCAAGGUAAAUGCAGAUGAACCGCUUCUAAUAGUCCAUUGACUUGGACAAUACUUUUAUGAUCUGAUCUCAAAUCAGGUAGGACUACCCGCUGAACUUAAGC
rnacentral:misc_RNA from 1 species